ensembl:lncRNA
AGAGAGGAGAGAGAGAGAGAAGAGAGAGGAGAGAGAGAGGAGAGAAGAGAGAGGAGAGUGAGGGAGGAGAGAGAGGGAGGAUAGCUCUACGAUCUGUCCCCCAGCAGCUGGCUGCACCACAGCCAAACCUGUUUAAGAGCUGCCUAGCUGCCAGAGGAAAUCAGUGGUGUGAACGUUAGGGCUAUACAGCCAAUAACACAGAGAGGUAGACCACUAGGCAGGCAGGGAGACCACUAGUCAGAGAGGGAGACCACUAGUCAGGGAGGGAGACCACUAGUCAGGGAGGGAGACCACUAGGCAGGGAGGGAGACCACUAGGCAGGCAAGGAGGAAGGUCACUAGGCAGGCAGGGAGGAAGGUCACUAGGCAGGCAGGGAGGAAGGUCACUAGGCAGGCAGGGAGGGACACCACUAGGCAGGCAAGGAGGAAGGUCACUAGGCAGGCAGGGAGGAAGGUCACUAGGCAGGCAGGGAGGGACACCACUAGGCAGGCAGGGAGGAAGGUCACUAGACUAGGCAGGCAGGGAGGGACACCACUAGGCAGGCAGGGAGGAAGGUCACUAGACUAGGC